UUAGAGUGUUCAAAGCAGGCAGAUCCAAUUUUCUGCCACCGAAUACAUUAGCAUGGGAUAAUGGAAUAGGACCCUGUCCUCCUAUUUUCAGUUGGUUUUGGCAGCGCGAGGACUAGGGUAAUGAUUAAUAGGGAUAGUUGGGGGCAUUAAUAUUUAAUUGUCAGAGGUGAAAUUCUUGGAUUUAUGAAAGAUUAACUUCUGCGAAAGCAUCUGCCAAGGAUGUUUUCAUUAAUCAAGAACGAAAGUUAGGGGAUCGAAGACGAUCAGAUACCGUCGUAGUCUUAACCAUAAACGAUGCCGACCAGCGAUUAGGAGACGUUGAAUACAAAACACCACCAUCGGUGCGGUCGUCCUUGGCGUCUCGGUCCUUCACGGGGCCGGGGCGCGGGGGCGGCUUAGCCCGGUGGCACCGGUGAAUGACUCCCCUAGCAGCUUGUGAG
rnacentral:rRNA from 1 species